rnacentral:rRNA from 1 species
CCUACGGGUGGCAGCAGUGGGGAAUAUUGGUCAAUGGGCGCAAGCCUGACCCAGCAAUGCCGCGUGAAGGCAGAAGGCCUUCGGGUUGUAAACUUCUUUUACAGGGGAAGAGCAGAAGACGGUACCCUGAAAACAAGCCACGGCUAACUACGUGCCAGCAGCCGCGGUAAUACGUAGGUGGCAAGCGUUCUCCGGAUUUACUGGGUGUAAAGGGCGUGUAGGCGGGAAGGCAAGUCAGAUGUGAAAUCUGGAGGCUCAACCUCCAGCCUGCAUUUGAAACUGUUUUUCUUGAGUACCGGAGAGGCAGGCGGAAUGCCUGGUGUAGCGGUGAAAUGCGUAGAUAUAAGGAGGAACACCAGUGGCGAAGGCGGUCGGCUGGACAGCAACUGACGGUGAGGCGCGAAAGCGUGGGGAGCAAACAGGAUUAGAUACCCAUGUAGUC